ACUCCAGAUCCAUAUAUCCAAUCAGCUAUUCGGCUUUUCCACCUGAGUUUCUAAUAGACCUGUUAAACUUAACAUGCUUAAACUGAGCUCUAAUUUACUGCACCCAAACUCCUUGUCCUCCAUCAGUGGCAAGACCAUCUUUCUACCCGCAUAUAAGAGGUACUGGUGAAACUCAUAUCCAUAGACUGCUGGUGGAACAACAGGGGCAGUAUUUUUUUUUUUUUUUUUUUUUUUUUUUUGAGACAGAGUCUCGCUCUGUCACCCAAGUUGGAGUACAGUGGCGCAAUCUCGGCUCACUGCAAGCUCCGCCUCCUGGGUUCACGCCAUUAUCCUGGCAGCUUCAAACUCCUGGGCUCAGGGAGGCUCCUUCUGCCUCAGCCUCUUGAGUAGCAGGAACUACAGGCAUGUGCCAAUGUGCCACAGUGCUUUGCGAAUUUUCUUUCCUUUUUUUUUUUUUUUUUUNUCAGAGAUGGAGUCUUUCUGUGUUUCUCAGGCUGGUUUCAAACUCCUGGCCUCAUACAAUCCUCCUGCCUCAGCCUCUAGACUAGCCAGAUUGCAAGCACAAACUACCAAGCCCUGAUCAAGUGUGUAUCUUCUACAGCCAGUCCUCCAUCUCAUUUGGAUUUUUCUGACUUUAUGAGAUAUUUUCUUAGCUGCCCUGACUCCAGUUUUCCCUGUUUCCAGAAGAGUUUUACAUAGGACAUUCAAUGUCUUGUAACACUAACCUCCCCCUCCAAGGCAGCACAGCACAAAGGCUGUGAGAACAGGCUUUCAAGCCAGAGGCCUGAGUUCAAAUCCCAGCUCCAGUACUUACUGUCUUUAUAAACUGGGCAAGUUACUUAACCCUCUGUGCCUUAAUUUCCUCACAGGUAAACUGUGGACCUAACUCAAAGGAUCUAAAA
rnacentral:lncRNA from 1 species